CCUUCGAUAGCUCAGUUGGUAGAGCGGUGGACUGUAGAUAAAAUAGCAAAGAUGUAGGAAUCCAUAGGUCGCUGGUUCAAAUCCGGCUCGAAGGA
rfam:Musca domestica strain aabys unplaced genomic scaffold Scaffold19478, whole genome shotgun sequence.